rnacentral:tRNA from 3 species
GCGGAGGUAGCUCAGUUGGUAGAGCGUGACCUUGCCAAGGUCGAGGCCGCGGGUUCGAGCCCCGUCCUCCGCUCCA